rnacentral:lncRNA from 1 species
CAGCCGCCAGCCGCGGAGGCUCCCGACAGGAGCACCCUCCGGCACCCAGCCCCGGCUGGCCUGGCCGGUGGCACGUGCCGCCAGAAUCCUGCCGGUGUCCUCCCCAACCUUCCUUGCUCUCCGGCUCCCCACCACCCCGCGCUAAUUUAUUUUUCGUGGCCGCUGGUGCUUCCGCGAGCCCCAAAGCCCCGAGCGAGCGGUCGCCCACGCAGUCGGUCCUUCGUGGCAGCGAGGACUAGGGUUCCGUCGACCGUCACUGCCGCUCGCCGCUCAUCUCCCUCCGCGGUUUUGCAGCAAAGCCCGGGCGACCUCGCAGCCGGCCGCGCUGUCCCCUGCCCUCGCUGGGGCGCCUCGCUGCCCGGGAGCACGGGGAACACGGCCGCGCCGGGGCGGGUCAGCCCCCGUACCCUGCGCACCGUCGCCCUGGACGCGGGUGUGAGCUCCGACCGGCCCCGCCCCGCCCCGCCCCGCCCCGCGGAGCGGCGGGUGCGCGCAGCAGGACCACGGGGAAGCCUGGGGAGCGGACCCUCAGCUGCCGCGGGCUUUGUUUUCCAAGAGGACGGGCCCGGGCUUUGCGGGGAGGCACUGGAACUAUCUUCAAUGACAUGCGCUCACCAGCCUUCCUUGCCUGAGAGCAGAGGCGGUCCGCCCCAUGUGUUUCUCUCCUCCGGAGAAAUAAAAAGGUACCUUGGACUCGUCUCUAUCCCCCGAGAGGCCAGAACUCACCCAGGACAGAGCUGCGGAUCUUCAGCCUCUCAGAUGCGGGAUCAAACCGACUGCACCUGCACGUCUCCAAAUGGGAGCAGCCAAUGACCCCGGGACGCCCAGGGCCUCGGCACCCUGUGCCAAAGAGCGGGCCGCGUGGGGGGGCGGACUUCCAUCCCCACCUGGUCCCCAACCUGUGCUCCCCAGUUUCCCACUCUUCACGUCUAAUCUCAGCCGCCCGACACGCACACACUUCUUUUGUUGACUACUCUCUAAAGGACUCGUCGUCUAGGUUCCUGGCUGGUCAGGAGGAGGGAGCGGAAAGGGGGGAGGAGAGCACCUGCUGGCAGGACCAAACACUGCAGAACGAGCUAGUGCUGGGCGGCUGGCCUGGCCGCUUGCUUGGGGAGGAGCAAGCUACUCCUGACCUGGGGGUUGUGAGCCCCACAUUGGGUGUAGAGAUUACAUGAAAAAUAAAAUCUAAUAAAUGAAUAAAUAAACA